rnacentral:rRNA from 1 species
GAUGAACGCUAGCUACAGGCUUAACACAUGCAAUUCGAGUGGAAGCGGCAUCUAAAGCUUGCUUUUGAUGGGCGUCGACCGGCGCACGGUUGAGUAACGCGUAUCCAACCUGCCCAUCACUUGGGAAUAACCUUGCGAAAGUAAGACUAAUGCCCAAUGACAUCCCACGAAGGCAUCCGAAUGGGAUUAAAGAUUUAUCUGUUAUGGAUGGGGAUGCGUCUGAUUAGCUUGUUGGCGGGGUGACGGCCCACCAAGGCAACGAUCAGUAGGUGUUCUGAGAGGAAGGUCCCCCACAUUGAAACUGAGACACGGUCCAAACGCAUACGGGAGGCAGAAGUGAGGAAUAUUGGUCAAUGGGCGAGAGCCUGAACCAGCCAAGUAGAGUGCAGGAUGACGGCCCUAUGGGUUGUAAACUGCUUUUAUAAGGGAAAAAAGUGGGUCACGUGUGACUUUUUGCAUGUACAUUAUUAAUAAGGACCGGCUAAUUCAGUG